CCCCAGGACACCACCCUGAGCCAGGGGACCUCACAGUAUGUUACACCUGCAGAGGGAGUGUGGGCACAGCCAUCCAGAAGGGAAAUAGCUGCCUAUUCAGCAGGAGCAGAGACGUGAAUUAGGUAUCCUAACCCCAAGGUUGGUCUUCCUGGGCCUCUUGAUGCCAAAGGCCAUCAAGCCCCCAUCACCCGUGCCACUGGCCCUCACUGUCCCCCAGAAUCUCAGCUGAGCCUCUGGGCUGAUUUCACCCAUAUCCCAGGAAGCAAACAGGCCUUGGGCAACUCCCCUUCAUGUGGUCUUUGGGUAUCCACGCGUAGGAUGGCCCAGUGGGCCCUCAUCUGAUUUGAGGCAUAUGCAUGCUGUGAUUUAUAGCCCUCCCUGUUUCUUCUGUUACUAGCACGACACAAAGGCUUGGAGCACAAGUGCAUUAUGUGGGGUCAACAGCCAGAUGGGGAACGUCACCAUUAUGGCUUCUAGGCACAAGUGAUGACUGUAUAGUCACAGUCACAGCCCUGCUUCUGAGGCGGGGAGCUCUGCAGGUCACUAGCCACGCCCAUCUCCUUCCUAACUGGACAACUUUGAUUGGCCUUCAUUCACUUCCUGUGUGAAACAGGCAACUGGCCAGGAACUGAGGCUGCAUUUUAUUUUUCAUCUAGAAACGCAGCUCUGGCCGGCAGAUGGGCUUGAGUGGAAUACUAAGUCCUGGAGUUGUAAAAGAGUCUAGAAAUAACAUUUAACACACACAAAACGUACUCCUCUGCAACUUCCAAAAAAUUAGCUGACAGGUGUGCCUGAUUUAAAUAAUCAGUGCUGAACUCAUAACCCUGAUGAAGACGAGAUUUCUAAUGACCCAAAGCUGCAAACAUAUAUCCCUCCGCACGCUCUCCUCAGCUGCUGGGGGAGGCACGUCAGCACUUGCUCCCCUCAAAUAAAACAACGGUUUGGCUCAAGAUUUCAAGCUGGAGAUCUGCGGACAGUUUACAGCAGCUGCGGCGCACUGUGCUGUCUAGAGAACCCGUGACUUUGGGUACUAAGUGGAUGCCCAGAGCUAAACUGUCCUCCGGCACCUUCCUGUCCCACCUUCAGCCCUAGAUAACGGGGCCUGGGGCCGCACGGGUGUGCUAUGGGAAACCACAGCAGAACGCAGCACUGGCUCCCCGCUGAGGAACCGCAGCCCCCAGACAAGUGCACCGUCACCGCCCAUCUCGCAGGCAGCGAAAUGCGAUUUUCAAGAUGGUUUCAUCACACCGGGGAACUAACUGUGGGUCAGGCCUCUCCCACACCGCCGGCACUCCCGCGUACACGCGUUUAUCUUACAGAAUUAUCUAGAAGACUAUGGAUGGUGACAUAAUGUCCCUCACCAGAGAUAGACAUCAUAAGACCACACGUCAAGCCUAUGCACCUCCCCUGUCCCUGCCCUUUGCCCCAUUUUUAAGAGCCUUAAAAGACAGAAUCCUAAGCCCUUAAGUGCACCUCCUCUCUCAGGUUGCCCGCACUCCCCUUUCCUCAAGGUACUGUUUGCCUUAAUUAAAGACUUCUCACUGCUCAUAA